rnacentral:lncRNA from 1 species
CUCCUGGCCCAGGGAGCAGCCAACACCAUGGACUGAACACCUGCUGGACUCCAAGCCCUGGGCCAGGCUGGGGCAUGUGGGGCCAGGAGGCAGCUCAGAGUGGGAAGCAGAGAGAGAAAUGUGCUCAGAGGGCACCUGUUUCUGGAUGUAAUGUGGUCCUGAGAUUGUGGCUGGGAAGUGCUUCCAGGGUUACAUAUGUGUUACGCAACUGCUUCCUCUCCCCAGCCUCACUCUGCAGGAAUUCAAGUGACUAUAUUGCCACCAUCUUGGAGCUCACUGCCCUCAGUGUAAUGGCACCAGUAGAUCUGCCUGUGCACAGACUUCCUGUACUACCCACUCUUGAGGGGUGAUGCUUCUGCCUCACCAUAUGCUCAGGCCUAUGACCGGAUGCACAACUUUAGACACCAUCAUCCUGGAGCAGCUCUGCACCCUCACUAGCCAGGGUGUUGACAUCCUCAAGGCCAAGGCCACAUUCAAGACUUUGGAUUUCAUUGAUGCACUUGUCCUGAGCAAAGAUACGACAGCACAGCCAGUGGCCUCUACUGGAUCCUGUACAACCUCACAAGACACCCAGGCAGUGGGAGUGCUGGCAGCAUGUGGUACAAGAGUUCCAAGGGACCACAAUCCUGAAGACAUUGAAUGCCAUUUUGCAGACCCUGGUCAGAGUGAAACGUUCUAUGGGAACUCGGGCCGUGAGAAGCAUCCUUCCUAACCACCUGACUGUAGAAACAUCCUUAUCACAUCCUCCCGGU